CAGGAGAUAGUUUAAAAAAUAUUAAAUUUGGGGUUUAAAGAUAGGAUUACUUCUUCUUCUGA
rnacentral:tRNA from 1 species